rnacentral:rRNA from 1 species
AUCGAACGCUGGCGGCAGGCCUAACACAUGCAAGUCGAACGAGUGGCGGACGGGUGAGUAAUGUCUGGGAAACUGCCCGAUGGAGGGGGAUAACUACUGGAACCGGUAGCUAAUACCGCAUACCAUCGGAUGUGCCCAGAGGGGAUUAGCUAGUAGGUGGGGUAAUGGCUCACCUGGGCGACGAUCCCUAGCGGGUCUGGGAGGAUGACCGGCCACACUGGAACUGAGACACGGUCCAGACUCCUACGGGAGGCAGCAGUGGGGAAUAUUGCACAAUGGGCGCAAGCCUGAUGCAGCCAUGCCGCGUGUAUGAAGAAGGCCUUCGGGUUGUAAAGUCCUUUCAGCGGGGAGGCGUUACCCGCAGAGGAAGCACCGGCUAACUCCGUGCCAGCAGCCGCGGUAAUUC